rnacentral:ncRNA from 2 species
UAGGAUCUUCGGGGUAGGGUGCAAUUCCCAACCGGCGGUGAUGUUCUUCGGAACCAGCCCGCGACUCGCUGUUUGACUCAACUUAGGUCAUUCAGCGACUGACUUGGUGUGACUCCAAGGCCGACGGUACAGUCCGGAUGAGAGAAGAUCAAC